rnacentral:rRNA from 1 species
UACGUAGGGUGCGAGCGUUGUCCGGAAUUACUGGGCGUAAAGGGCUCGUAGGUGGCCAACUAAGUCAGACGUGAAAUCCCUCGGCUUAACCGGGGAACUGCGUCUGAUACUGGAUGGCUUGAGUUUGGGAGAGGGACGCGGAAUUCCAGGUGUAGCGGUGGAAUGCGUAGAGAUCCGGAAGAACACCGGUGGCGAAGGCGGCCUGCUGGGCAGUGGCUGACACUGAGGCGCGACAGCGUGGGGAGCAAACAGGGAUUAGAA